CCUACGGGAGGCAGCAGUGGGGAAUAUUGCACAAUGGGGGGAACCCUGAUGCAGCAAUGCCGCGUGGGUGAAGAAGCACUCCGGUGCGUAAAGCCCUGUCAGCAGGGAAGAAAAUGACAGUACCUGACCAAGAAGCCCCGGCUAACUACGUGCCAGCAGCCGCGGUAAUACGUAGGGGGCAAGCGUUGUCCGGAUUUACGGGGUGUAAAGGGAGCGCAGGCGGUAUGGCAAGUCAGAUGUGAAAACCCAGGGCUCAACCCUGGGACUGCAUUUGAAACUGCCAUACUGGAGUGAAGGAGAGGUAAGUGGAAUUCCUAGUGUAGCGGUGAAAUGCGUAGAUAUUAGGAGGAACACCAGUGGCGAAGGCGGCUUACUGGACGGUAACUGACGCUGAGGCUCGAAAGCGUGGGGAGCAAACAGGAUUAGAUACCCUAGUAGUC
rnacentral:rRNA from 1 species